rnacentral:rRNA from 1 species
CCUACGGGAGGCAGCAGUGAGGAAUAUUGGUCAAUGGACGAGAGUCUGAACCAGCCAAGUAGCGUGAAGGAUGACUGCCCUAUGGGUUGUAAACUUCCUUUAUAUGGGAAUAAAAUGUUCCACGUGUGGGAUUUUGUAUGUACCAUAUGAAUAAGGAUCGGCUAACUCCGUGCCAGCAGCCGCGGUAAUACGGAGGAUCCGAGCGUUAUCCGGAUUUAUUGGGUUUAAAGGGAGCGUAGGUGGAUUGUUAAGUCAGUUGUGAAAGUUUGCGGCUCAACCGUAAAAUUGCAGUUGAAACUGGCAGUCUUGAGUACAGUAGAGGUGGGCGGAAUGCGUGGUGUAGCGGUGAAAUGCUUAGAUAUCACGAAGAACUCCGAUUGCGAAGGCAGUUCACUGGACUGCAACUGACACUGAGGCUCGAAAGUGUGGGUAUCAAACAGGAUUAGAUACCCGGGUAGUC